UUGUCCGAUCGAUAGAUCUUCCUUCAGCCAGCUUCUCAAGCUCGGCCGAACGGGCACAACAAUAUAUAUAAGCGCCUUAUAUCUAUUGUGGUUAAGAUUGAUUACGUUCAAGUUGACAAAUAGCUACAAGCGAUUGAACGUGAUAAGGUUCUUACAAAUCCAACUGAUCACAUUUAUCGCUGAGAUUCACGCGCCGAUAACUGAUCGAUAGUCUUGUGUGUGUUGUGUGCGAUGGUUUGAUUUGUUUUGAGCAUGUGUAUUGUCGACUAGGCGCAAGCCUUGCAAGCCUCUUUCCAGUCACUUUCAGUACCAUAUAUGAAUAUAUGUUCUAAGGGUGUCUCAUCGUAAACACACGUGGCGAAAAUUCAAUGUAUAAAAGGAUAUGUAUUAUUUUAGCACUUUAUAUCAGAAAAAUGGAAAACUGGCAAUUUACGAUUGCGGAAUUUUUUGAUGGAUUACAAUUGAUACUCACAGUAUGAUACAAUGCUAAUAAAAUGUCAUGUAUAUGGCCUAGUUAUAUGGAAACUAAAUUGCGCAUUAAUAUGGCAAGAGAAAUGCCACGAGAAAAAUCUGAUUGAGAAGAACUACCACUUAAAAGAAUUUUAGGCACAGGAAACUUAUGAAGAAGGUAUGCAGAAACUAAUUUUAACGCAAGAUACAUCAAAUAUAGAUGAUACAGGGAUAUCAUCAGAUGAAUUAAGGAAACAAAAAAAAAAGAGAAGACGUAUACAGGCUAAAAGACAUGCAUCAUCCCCCUAAUAGCACAAGAUAUCCUCAGGAUGAUCCUAAAUCCGUCCUAAAUGUCCUGGGAUGUGAAUGGGACGGGUUUAGGGCAUUAUAACAUCCCAGGACUUCCCAUGGGCAUCCUAAGAACAUCCCAAAAACACCUUUAGGGCGUCCUCGGAACAUCCCAUGGUCGUCCUUAAGACAUCCUUUGGACGCCCCUAGGAGGUUUGUACAGGAGGUGUAGAUUAUAAACACGUCCAACACAUAAUUUCAGCAUAUACUAACCAAUGCAACGCACAAACGGGAUCCGUGGGCUGUCGGUGCGUGAUAACCA
rnacentral:lncRNA from 13 species